UCACGAAUUAGUUUCGAGCUAACCUAAUCAACUAUUGGUGUUCCACAUUAUACGUAGUAUUGUAUAACUUCAAGGUUCGGUUAGUGGUGAUAGGCCUUUCAAGAACUAAGAUAACUUGUUGCCCCUCAAACGUAUUAAGUACUGGAAACAUCUAUGAAGUGUUUAGGUUUCAUAGGGAUAUUGAUCCAUUUAGGAAAGUUCAAGGUUUAAUCACCGUUGUCCCUCCAAAAAUAAUAUUAACGAUGGGGUAAUCAUUUAUAUUAGGGGGAAGUCCCUAUAUUAAAAAGGAGACUUAUAAUGUAGAUAUUAGUAAAAUAUAGAGACGUUUUGAAAGAACUCGGCAAACUUACUCUCAACUGUUUAUCAAAAACAUAACUAUACGAAUAUUAUGUAUAGCUAUUUCUGCUCAAUGUUAUUAUAAAUUGCCGCAGUACUUUGACUGUGCUAAGGUAGCAUAAUCAUUUGGCUUAUAAUUGAAGUCUAGUAUGAAGGAAGUCAUGGGGGUUAGCUGUUUCCGAAACGUUUAUUUAAUUUGCCUGAGGGGUGAAAAUGCCCCUAAUCACAUAAUAGACGAGAAGACCCUUGAAAUUUUAAGUAUAGGCAUGUAGAGCUAAACUUUUUGUUGGGGCGACAAAGUAGCAGAUAACCUACUAAUUGUUAUUAGCAGAAAAUUGUAUGAAUAAAUAAAUUACUCUAGGGAUAACAGCAUAAUAUUUAAAAGUUUGUGACCUCGAUGUUGGACUAGGACAAUAUAGUCUAGAAGACUUUAAUUUCUGCUCUGUUCGAGCAUACACUCCUACAUGAUC
rnacentral:rRNA from 1 species